rnacentral:misc_RNA from 1 species
AGAAAAUAUCCCUACUUGCAAGAACGGUGUAUCCGAGCGUGACAGAGAUGACGUUAUAAGACGAAAUACCAGAGAGAAGGAGAAAGAAGUAUGCAGAAGCACUCGUGUCAGAGGCGACCAAUAAAUUUAUCGAGCGGGUGUUGGCAUGGAGACUGCCGGACAGAGCUCGGUUGGAUGGCCCAGAGGGCGAUGAGAGGGCACUCGAGAAUCCUCCAGGAGCCCGUCACGGGGAAAUUGGAGGCAGCCACGGCGGCGGCCACGAGGAGGAACACAGAAAGGAGAGAGAGAGAGAGAGAGAGAGAGAGAGAGAGAGGAGGUGGAGGGUGAGAGCGUGUACUCUCGGAGGAACGACGGAGACAGAGGUUGAAACGAAGAAGGAGAAGCUCCGAACCGGAGAAGAGGGGGCUGAGGUAUCGAUUUCUCGCGGUGAUCCAAUCAACGAUGGUGCCUUAUCUGACGCCUUUGCCACCCGCUUUAACACAUCGGUGUCUCUGAUAAGAAAAAAGAAAUUUCACCCAAUCGUUCUUCUUCCUAUUUUACUUAUUUAUCGAUUAGGGAAUGUAUUCGUUCUUCAAAUUAGAAAUUAUUUAUACACCUAGUCAGAGACGCGACGAAAUCAAUACACGUUGGCGAAGCUGCAAGAUACAGCCAAUAUUUAACGAGCCAACCAGUCAAUCGCUGGCUUUCUUUAACCCACGGUGAUCUUUAAUUCAUUAACGACAUUAAUUAUUCAUCGCCGAUAACGACGACGGAAUCGCUGAUCGUCGUCCCUUCUCGAUUACAAGCGGAGCAGACCUCGUCGUGUGCCACGUCUGCGAGAAGUUGCAACUGGAAAGACGGAUCCUUUGUUAUUUUCCCGGCUUCUCUUGGAUAAAUCGGUAUAGCCGUGUCGGUACAAUUGUAACGAUGUUGGAAGGGGAACGAAACGGAGCGUUUUCACGUGGACGCUCGAUGUGUACGGACUGGCUAAUCCCUCUGACAUUGUUCCAAAACAAUACGAUAUCCGCCCCUAAUUUGUACCGCCUUCCAACGGCCGCUCCUCUUUCGCGUUAUACGUUGAACCGACCGGCUGACAGAGUCAAUAUUUUCGCUUUCUAG